rnacentral:lncRNA from 1 species
AUAUUUGUCUGUCAAUAUAAUACUUUCAAACACCAAUAAAAUUUAACAAACAUGCAUCAUGGUUGUUAGGAUAUAUAUGAACUCAUGAAUAUCUUUAACUUAGCCAGCCCAAAACCAUUUAUGCCACGUAAUUAAUGGUGAACAGUCCGUCGAUCCUAGCUUGUUUGACCAGGCAACGCUCACUUGGCCAUCACCCACCACUAUCUCUC